rnacentral:tRNA from 2 species
GGAGGGAUGGCCGAGCGGUCGAAGGCGGUGGUCUCGAAAACCACUAGGUAGUUUUGACACUACCUCAGGGGUUCAAAUCCCCUUCCCUCCU